rnacentral:tRNA from 1 species
GACAUAAUCAAAGUCUAUGUUACGGCCAUAGAAUGGACAUUAUCAGAAUGUCUUAUGUUU